rnacentral:tRNA from 1 species
GGGCAUUGGAGACACAGCAUAGUGCAAAUUUGAAGAAGCACCCAUAAAGGUGCCCCGGCU